rnacentral:rRNA from 1 species
UACGUAGGGCGCAAGCGUUGUCCGGAAUUAUUGGGCGUAAAGAGCUCGUAGGCGGUCUGUUACGUCCGCUGUGAAAACCCAGGGCUUAACCCUGGGCUUGCAGUGGAUACGGGCAGACUAGAGGCAGGUAGGGGAGAAUGGAAUUCCCGGUGUAGCGGUGAAAUGCGCAGAUAUCGGGAGGAACACCGGUGGCGAAGGCGGUUCUCUGGGCCUGACCUGACGCUGAGACGCGAAAGCGUGGGGAGCGAUCCGG